AUAUUGAUUUGGCAGAUUAGUGCAUUAAAUUUAGAAUUUAAAUAUGUAUGGUUACAAUCAAUA
rnacentral:tRNA from 1 species